rnacentral:rRNA from 1 species
AGUGAACGCUGGCGGUAGGCCUAACACAUGCAAGUCGAACGGCAGCACAGUAAGGGCUUGCUCUUACGGGUGGCGAGUGGCGGACGGGUGAGGAAUACAUCGGAAUCUACUUUUUCGUGGGGGAUAACGUAGGGAAACUUAAGCUAAUACCGCAUACGACCUACGGGUGAAAGCAGGGGAUCUUCGGACCUUGCGCGAUUGAAUGAGCCGAUGUCGGAUUAGCUAGUUGGCGGGGUAAAGGCCCACCAAGGCGACGAUCCGUAGCUGGUCUGAGAGGAUGAUCAGCCACACUGGAACUGAGACACGGUCCAGACUCCUACGGGAGGCAGCAGUGGGGAAUAUUGGACAAUGGGCGCAAGCCUGAUCCAGCCAUACCGCGUGGGUGAAGAAGGCCUUCGGGUUGUAAAGCCCUUUUGUUGGGAAAGAAAAGCAGCAGGUUAAUACCCCGCUGUUCUGACGGUACCCAAAGAAUAGCACCGGCUAACUUCGUG